rnacentral:rRNA from 1 species
AGUGAACGCUGGCGGUAGGCCUAACACAUGCAAGUCGAACGGCAGCACAGUAAGAGCUUGCUCUUACGGGUGGCGAGUGGCGGACGGGUGAGGAAUACAUCGGAAUCUACUUUUUCGUGGGGGAUAACGUAGGGAAACUUACGCUAAUACCGCAUACGACCUACGGGUGAAAGCAGGGGACCUUCGGACCUUGCGCGAUUGAAUGAGCCGAUGUCGGAUUAGCUAGUUGGCGGGGUAAAGGCCCACCAAGGCGACGAUCCGUAGCUGGUCUGAGAGGAUGAUCAGCCACACUGGAACUGAGACACGGUCCAGACUCCUACGAGAGGCAGCAGUGGGGAAUAUUGGACAAAGGGCGCAAGCCUGAUCCAGCCAUACCGCGUGGGUGAAGAAGGCCUUCGGGUUGUAAAGCCCUUUUGUUGGGAAAGAAAAGCAGCAGGUUAAUACCCCGCUGUUCUGACGGUACCCAAAGAAUAAGCACCGGCUAACUUCGUG